UUUGCCUAUGUGAUUACAACAGCUGUUUAAAGUGAAUUAUUACAACCUAGCGGCUAGAGAAAGUACAGAAACUUUGAUAAUCCAACAACCUGUUCAAUACGGUCGUAAGUAUUCACAGGUCUUCACACAGAAUCUUUCACUAAUACGCCCACUGCAAGUCUGGAUGUCUAGUGAAAUAUCCAUGUUCCCGCCACAAAACCUAGAUCAAGAUAUUUCGUCAGUUUUUCAUUUUUCUUGGUGCUGGGAGAACUGUGAAUUUUUCAUGUGCCAAAAGAAAAGAAAAUUCUGAUUGUGGAUAGCGUUCCAGUUGAGUCACUUAUUACCAUACGACCGUGUCGACUCAACAACCUAGUCAACGAAAAAUGCCAAGAUAAUCAACCCAUUUCAUGUGCAACAAGUUCUGGCUUGUCAGAAACGUGCAGCAACCCCAUUUUUAUGUUGUUCAAGGUCGCAAAACUCUCAACGACUUUCAACAGGAACCUUGAUUGUGAGUAGGACUUUUAUCUUUCAGUUUUAUAGCCAAUAUGUUUAGUUCUCACAGGGCAAUUUUAAUAGUCAGAAACGUAUGCAAUCUGUACAUUUUUCCUUUCUCACGUACUCGCUAACAUUCCGAUUCAUUUGUUUAUUUUGUGCUGAGUCAUUUUUUCUCACCACAUUUAUAAAGGUGAGAUAAGUUUACGAUUCAGCUGAGGAAACGGUGGGGUAGGUUGUUUCGUAAUCAAUGUGUGGUCUCGUUUAGCAUUUCUUUCAAUCCUUUUUACUUUCCACAGUUUUUGGAUCAACAAUCACAGGCAACAAUUCCAAGAAUUGUCUUUUUCGUUGUUCUUUAGAAGAGAAAGAAUUCCGAGAAUUUAAGCUACUUAUUUACAUUCUCCAAAUCUUGUUGUUGGGGCUGGUUAUUUGGUUUGCAUAUUUUCAUUUUCAACUCAAGACGUAAAAGAAUGUUUGUUUUCAGGAAAUGGACAGUGUUGGCCAUCUAGCGGCCAUCCGUACUACUUGGUCGUCCCCCCCCCUUACGAUUCCGGAAUUAUUCCAGACUAGGAAUGGAAUAUUGGAAUGGUGUUCUCUUUCCCAUCCGUGAAUGGAUUCCAUUUGGAUUAUAUUGAGCAUCUCGUCAUAUCUGCGAUGUUGUGUGUUGUAUGGAUACAAAUUCAUCGUCGGUGCUGAUGAGUGAUGACUAACCGCAACCGCACCUGUCAUAAACAACAAUAAAUCUCCAGACCUGGCGUGGAAAUGCCAUAGAACAAGUUCCAAGUUGAGACUUGUGUUUCCAAAGGACCGGUCGAGCCACUGUCAACAUUUUCCAGUUGAUGUCGACCGUAGCGAGAUCGAGGAUGCGUACGGCUUGCAUGGCCACAGGUAUCGGGUCCGGAUAGGAAUUUCCACAGCUGACGCUGAUUGGGUGGAUCCCGGCAACGAUACGGCCCGUCUUCUGUGGUGAUUUGUCCCUCGCCCCUCCGCCACGAGGAUAUUGGCGGUGAGGGGACGAUUUGUUUUUCUGUUGUGCUUCUUUGCGACAUGUGAAGGAAUAAUCCUCGCCAAUGGUAACUUCUUCUGGCCGAACCUUUUUCACGAUUGGCUUGAUGCGGAAUUCGGGAAUGUGAGCCAAGAGUUUUUCAAACUCUUGUUUUGUGCGAGGCCGUGCUGUGGACAAGUCAAGAGCCUGCAUGGCCUCCGCGCGAGGCGCCAGCAGAUCUUCCAACCGAAAAAGAGACAUGAUUGCGCAGAUCUACUCAUGUCUCGAUGAAUCAACCAGCUGUAGCUGACCUGAUGCUGGACGAUGCUUCGCCUCAGCAGCCGUCCCAUCCUGUUUCACCACCAAAAUGAGACGUUAGAAAUACUAACGGGGUCUUUAGUGAAGUAAACGGCUUGUUUCGAGUGCACGUCCCAUUGAACGUUUUGGCUGAGCGUGACAGGAGCAGUUGGCCCACCGCUGAUUGUAGUGUUCUCGUCCAGUUGCCAAUCGAUCCACAAGGCUACUCCAUUAAGAGUUCCAGCGACUGAUCAAUUUCUUGAGUGGAGCGGACGGGUGCUCGGAUUUUCCAUAAAUCUUUCAUCUCGACAGCCAUGGCGUAUAGAUACGCUUUUCCAGGAAAAAUUCUAGUCACGCCAUCUGCCAAUAAAUGUUGCACGUUGUUUUUCCAGCGCGCGAAAUAAAGGUUGUGCCAAGGCAGCACAGAGCUCUCGAAAACAGGCUCACCCAACACAAGGUUCACCUAAACAUAACCGUAAAUGGAAACGUUAAAGCAAGAAAAAACUAUAACAUAUCCUUUUCAAAAGUAUCCCGAAUUUAAAGGCCUGGUCGUUUAAACGAGCUCAAACUGUUGUAAAAGUCAAAAUAGCACUAUCGCAAGCAGAGUCUUACCUUUAAGUCGAGUUUUCUUUUAUCGAGAUCUCCAUCAAUGACGGUAAUUUGUUCUUGGAGGUCAUUUCUUUUCACCCAGGCCUGCAAUACUCGACGACAAUGUGGAUUUCUCUCAACGGCAUAGACUUUUUUUGCGCCUAAUUUUGCCACUAUUAGUCCUAAGAGACAGCAAUCACCCAGUGUCAAACAGACAGUAUCGGAGCUAACCACUUUUUCUAAAGCAGUCUGGUACUUCUGAUUGCGUUCACUGUCGUUCAAUUGGCCUAAACGAGGUCGGCUAACAGCAAGGUGAACGGAGCAAUCACAGAAUGGGCGGGGCAAGAUAGCGGAAGAGGAGGCUUCAGUCUGUAAUCCAAACCAAAGGCUGUAUUCGUCGUGGUAACCGCUGAGACGUAGUUGCUCUCCCUCCGAUUUGAUAGUUUUGUCAUUAGGAAAGUAGUAAAUAGCUUGCAUCCAAUGAUCUCUCCACGUUUUUGCACAAUACCUUCUGGAUGGGCCCAAGGAGGAGCACAACUUAAAACUAUUUCACCUUCUGUGUCCAUGUCCAAUGUCCACCACAUUAAUACGGCGUGAGCCGUCCCACUGGACUUGGCUGUGAAUUCCACUGU